GGGUUGUGAGGUUAAGCGACUAAGCGUACACGGUGGAUGCCCUGGCAGUCAGAGGCGAUGAAGGGCGUGCUAAUCUGCGAUAAGCGCCGGUAAGGUGAUAUGAACCGUUAUAACCGGCGAUACCCGAAUGGGGAAACCCAGUGUGAUUCGUCACACUAUCAUUAACUGAAUCCAUAGGUUAAUGAGGCGAACCGGGGGAACUGAAACAUCUAAGUACCCCGAGGAAAAGAAAUCAACCGAGAUUCCCCCAGUAGCGGCGAGCGAACGGGGAGGAGCCCAGAGCCUGAAUCAGCAUGUGUGUUAGUGGAAGCGUCUGGAAAGGCGCGCGAUACAGGGUGACAGCCCCGUACACAAAAGCGCAUGUGCUGUGAGCUCGAUGAGUAGGGCGGGACACGUGGUAUCCUGUCUGAAUAUGGGGGGACCAUCCUCCAAGGCUAAAUACUCCUGACUGACCGAUAGUGAACCAGUACCGUGAGGGAAAGGCGAAAAGAACCCCGGCGAGGGGAGUGAAAAAGAACCUGAAACCGUGUACGUACAAGCAGUGGGAGCACAGGUUUACCUGUGUGACUGCGUACCUUUUGUAUAAUGGGUCAGCGACUUAUAUUCUGUAGCAAGGUUAACCGAAUAGGGGAGCCGGAGGGAAACCGAGUCUUAACCGGGCGUUAAGUUGCAGGGUAUAGACCCGAAACCCGGUGAUCUAGCCAUGGGCAGGUUGAAGGUUGGGUAACACUAACUGGAGGACCGAACCGACUAAUGUUGAAAAAUUAGCGGAUGACCUGUGGCUGGGGGUGAAAGGCCAAUCAAACCGGGAGAUAGCUGGUUCUCCCCGAAAGCUAUUUAGGUAGCGCCUCGUGAAUUCAUCUCCGGGGGUAGAGCACUGUUUCGGCUAGGGGGCCAUCCCGGCUUACCAACCCGAUGCAAACUGCGAAUACCGGAGAAUGUUAUCACGGGAGACACACGGCGGGUGCUAACGUCCGUCGUGAAGAGGGAAACAACCCAGACCGCCAGCUAAGGUCCCAAAGUCAUGGUUAAGUGGGAAACGAUGUGGGAAGGCCCAGACAGCCAGGAUGUUGGCUUAGAAGCAGCCAUCAUUUAAAGAAAGCGUAAUAGCUCACUGGUCGAGUCGGCCUGCGCGGAAGAUGUAACGGGGCUAAACCAUGCACCGAAGCUGCGGCAGCGAACGUAUCACUUAAAGCGAUUCAGCGGGUUACGAUUGACGGAGCGAAGCGACGUCAAAGCGUAUACAAAGUCGAGUCGGUUUAAGGAUACGUUCGUUGGGUAGGGGAGCGUUCUGUAAGCCUGCGAAGGUGGCCUGUGAGGGUUGCUGGAGGUAUCAGAAGUGCGAAUGCUGACAUAAGUAACGAUAAAGCGGGUGAAAAGCCCGCUCGCCGGAAGACCAAGGGUUCCUGUCCAACGUUAAUCGGGGCAGGGUGAGUCGACCCCUAAGGCGAGGCCGAAAGGCGUAGUCGAUGGGAAACGGGUUAAUAUUCCCGUACUUGGUGUUACUGCGAAGGGGGGACGGAGAAGGCUAUGUUGGCCGGGCGACGGUUGUCCCGGUUUAAGCGUGUAGGUGUGUGUUCCAGGUAAAUCCGGUUCACUUUAACACUGAGGCGUGAUGACGAGGCACUACGGUGCUGAAGUAACAAAUGCCCUGCUUCCAGGAAAAGCCUCUAAGCAUCAGGUAACAUCAAAUCGUACCCCAAACCGACACAGGUGGUCAGGUAGAGAAUACCAAGGCGCUUGAGAGAACUCGGGUGAAGGAACUAGGCAAAAUGGUGCCGUAACUUCGGGAGAAGGCACGCUGACACGUAGGUGAAGUGAUUUACUCACGGAGCUGAAGUCAGUCGAAGAUACCAGCUGGCUGCAACUGUUUAUUAAAAACACAGCACUGUGCAAACACGAAAGUGGACGUAUACGGUGUGACGCCUGCCCGGUGCCGGAAGGUUAAUUGAUGGGGUCAGCGCAAGCGAAGCUCCUGAUCGAAGCCCCGGUAAACGGCGGCCGUAACUAUAACGGUCCUAAGGUAGCGAAAUUCCUUGUCGGGUAAGUUCCGACCUGCACGAAUGGCGUAAUGAUGGCCAGGCUGUCUCCACCCGAGACUCAGUGAAAUUGAACUCGCUGUGAAGAUGCAGUGUACCCGCGGCAAGACGGAAAGACCCCGUGAACCUUUACUAUAGCUUGACACUGAACAUUGAGCCUUGAUGUGUAGGAUAGGUGGGAGGCUUUGAAGUGUGGACGCCAGUCUGCAUGGAGCCGACCUUGAAAUACCACCCUUUAAUGUUUGAUGUUCUAACGUGGACCCGUUACCCGGGUUGCGGACAGUGUCUGGUGGGUAGUUUGACUGGGGCGGUCUCCUCCUAAAGAGUAACGGAGGAGCACGAAGGUUGGCUAAUCCUGGUCGGACAUCAGGAGGUUAGUGCAAUGGCAUAAGCCAGCUUGACUGCGAGCGUGACGGCGCGAGCAGGUGCGAAAGCAGGUCAUAGUGAUCCGGUGGUUCUGAAUGGAAGGGCCAUCGCUCAACGGAUAAAAGGUACUCCGGGGAUAACAGGCUGAUACCGCCCAAGAGUUCAUAUCGACGGCGGUGUUUGGCACCUCGAUGUCGGCUCAUCACAUCCUGGGGCUGAAGCAGGUCCCAAGGGUAUGGCUGUUCGCCAUUUAAAGUGGUACGCGAGCUGGGUUUAGAACGUCGUGAGACAGUUCGGUCCCUAUCUGCCGUGGGCGCUGGAGAACUGAGGGGGGCUGCUCCUAGUACGAGAGGACCGGAGUGGACGCAUCACUGGUGUUCGGGUUGUCAUGCCAAUGGCACUGCCCGGUAGCUAAAUGCGGAAGAGAUAAGUGCUGAAAGCAUCUAAGCACGAAACUUGCCCCGAGAUGAGUUCUCCCUGAGACUUAGAGUCUCCUGAAGGAACGUUGAAGACGACGACGUUGAUAGGCCGGGUGUGUAAGCGCAGCGAUGCGUUGAGCUAACCGGUACUAAUGAACCGUGAGGCUUAACCUUACAACGCCGAAG
rnacentral:rRNA from 6 species